rnacentral:snRNA from 1 species
GAAAAUUGUCGAAAUAUUUGG